AAUUCCAUAUGACUUUCUGCUAUUUGACAGAUUUUUCCCUUCUUUUUCUUAAUUUCAGUGCUCAAGAGACGUACCAGGUUAACAGAUUUGAUGGCUGUAGUCCUGUAUCCACAGAACAUCUUUGGAAGCAACAGUGACAGCUUCCCCACACUACCCUGUCAACAGACCUCAACUUUAAAAUGGAGGGACCACCUGUAUAAUGGAGAAAAGUAGAUUUUUAGCCAGUUCACUUACUACAUAUUGCCUCCUCCAAGCACUAUACAGAGAUAGGCAUCACACAGAACAUGUCAGCAGUAGUGCAAUGUGGGUGGGCAUCUACCAUGCAUCUACUAUGCCCUCAACAACAGCUCACGUACAACCCUGGGAAUUAAUAAUUAUACGUUAAACUUCCAGGUCUUAAAUCCAGGAUGGCAAGGGACUGUACAAACAUCUUUUCUCUCCCAUGUCAUCUCUGUGAGGUAGGUAGGUAGACCAGUAUUAUUAUUCCCAGCUUUCAGAUGGGGGGAAGUGAGUAUUUGGGCUCUGUGCAGGUGAACUCCAGCCUGCAAGUCAGAACCAUAGUGGUUGAUGGGCCACUAAUAGCCACUACUCAGAAUGAUGUAGUGGGUAGCAGUAUGGGCUAGUGUACUGAGCACUGGACUGGGAUGCAAGAGUUUUAGUCUAGCUUGGUCACUGGCCUGCUGUGUGACCCUAAGCAGGUCAUGUCCCUGCUCUGUGCCUCAGUUUUCCCCAUCUGUAAAAUGGGGAUAAUGAUGCUGCCCUCCUUUAUAAAGCAUUUUGUCCUGGGUCCACAACGGAACUCGGGUGUUGUAAUGCUAAGUGUCAUGGCACCUAGAAAGUUACAGGAACAACACUGCGAUCUACAGAGCUUGAGUUAGGAGCCUGAUACCAUGAAUGGAGAGAGAUAGGCACCUUCAAAUAUGAUCCACAAAAGCCAGCACACUAGGCAGAGCGCUGCCUAAAGUAGCCAGUGAGAGGCAUGUGUCCUAAGCCCCCACCCCUCUUGCAGAGUUAGGUGCCUAACUCUGGGCUGGAGGAGGGGCCUAUCUCACUAGCGAUCCACAAGCAGGAACCCCUCGCUUGCAGUCAGAUGGCCUGGGUGCCCGAGUUCUCUCUUGUGAGAAUGCACUAGGUCCCUGUCUCACUCCACAGAAAAUAGCCAGAGGAAGAGAAGGUGCCCCUGCC
rnacentral:lncRNA from 1 species